rnacentral:rRNA from 1 species
CCUACGGGAGGCAGCAGUGAGGAAUCUUCCGCAAUGGGCGAAAGCCUGACGGAGCCAUACCGCGUGUAGGAUGACACCUUUCGGGGCGUAAACUACUUUUCUGAAGGAAGACAUUCUGACGGUACUUCAGGAAUAAGCGUCGGCUAACUACGUGCCAGCAGCCGCGGUAAUACGUAGGACGCAAGCGUUAUUCGGAAUCACUGGGCGUAAAGCGAUCGAAGGCUGUUUAGUAAGCGAGGUGUUAAAUACCCACGGCUCAACCGGGGUGCUGUACUUCGAACUGCUAGACUAGAGAAAUGUAGAGGUAGCUGGAAUUCUUGUUGUAGGGGUUAAAUCCGUAGAUAACAAGAGGAACACCAAAAGCGAAGGCAGGCUACUGGACAUUUUCUGACGCUGCGCGAUCGAAAGCGUGGGGAGCGAAAGGGAUUAGAUACCCCUGUAGUCCACGCCGUAAACGAUGGAUACUCGGCGUUCGCGGUUUCAAUGCCGUGAGUGCCCAAGCUAACGCGUUAAGUAUCCCGCCUGAGGAGUACGG